AAUGGGCGCAAGCCUGAUCCAGCCAUGCCGCGUGAGUGAAGAAGGCCCUAGGGUUGUAAAACUCUUUCAGCAGGGAAGAUGAUGACGGUACCUGCAGAAGAAGCCCCGGCCAACUCCGUGCCAGCAGCCGCGGUAAUACGGAGGGGGCAAGCGUUGUUCGGAAUUACUGGGCGUAAAGCGCGCGUAGGCGGUUAGCAUAGUCAGGCGUGAAAUCCCGGGGCUCAACCUCGGAACUGCGCUUGAUACUGGUUAACUAGAGGUCUGGAGAGGGUAGUGGAAUUCCCAGUGUAGAGGUGAAAUUCGUAGAUAUUGGGAAGAACACCAGUGGCGAAGGCGGCUACCUGGACAGAUACUGACGCUGAGGUGCGAAAGCGUGGGAAGUGAACAGGAUU
rnacentral:rRNA from 1 species